UACGUAGGGGGCAAGCGUUGUCCGGAUUUAUUGGGCGUAAAGGGCGCGUAGGCGGCGGGGUAAGUCGGGUGUGAAGUCUCAGAGCUCAACUCUGAAACUGCACUCGAUACUGCUCUGCUUGAGGACUGGAGAGGAGACUGGAAUUCCCAGUGUAGCGGUGAAAUGCGUAGAUAUUGGGAGGAACACCAGUGGCGAAGGCGGCUCACUGGACCGGUACUGACGCUGAUGCGCGAAAGCGUGGGGAGCGAACAGG
rnacentral:rRNA from 1 species